CCCUUAGAUGUCCUGGGCUGCACGCGCGCUACACUGAUGCGCUCAACGAGUUUACGAUCUUGCCUGAAAUGGCUGGGUAAUCUUUUUAAAACGCAUCGUGAUGGGGAUAGAUGAUUGCAAUUCUUCAUCUUCAACGAGGAAUGCCUAGUAAACGCAAGUCAUCAGCUUGCAUUGAUUACGUCCCUGCCCUUUGUACACACCGCCCGUCGCUCCUACCGAUUGAAUGAUCCGAUGAAUACCAUGGAUUGAGAGUACGAAUGGGUUCGCUCAUUUCUGCUGCUCGAGAAGUGGAGUAAAUCUUAUCAUUUAGAGGAAGGAGAAGUCGUAACA
rnacentral:rRNA from 1 species